rnacentral:rRNA from 1 species
AGUGAACGCUGGCGGUAGGCCUAACACAUGCAAGUCGAACGGCAGCACAGUAAGAGCUUGCUCUUACGGGUGGCGAGUGGCGGACGGGUGAGGAAUACAUCGGAAUCUACUUUUUCGUGGGGGAUAACGUAGGGAAACUUACGCUAAUACCGCAUACGACCUACGGGUGAAAGCAGGGGAUCUUCGGACCUUGCGCGAUUGAAUGAGCCGAUGUCGGAUUAGCUAGUUGGCGGGGUAAAGGCCCACCAAGGCGACGAUCCGUAGCUGGUCUGAGAGGAUGGUAAGGCGAGCUGGAAGUGAGAGACGGACGAGCCGCCGACGGGAGGAACGAGUGGGGAAUGUUGGACAAGGGGCGGAAGUAUGAUACAGCGAUGGCGCGUGUGUGAAGAAGGUAGUCGGAUUGUAAAGAGAUUUAAGGGGGGAGGAAGGGCAGGCAGUGGAUACCUUGCUGGUUGGACGGUAGGAAAAGAAUAAGCAGCGGCUAACUUCGUG